rnacentral:lncRNA from 1 species
CCUCUUAUUAUAAAACGCGGUAUCAAAUAAGUAUCGGCUUUUGUACUACCUUUAAUCCACCUUUAAGUACGACCUUGAAAAAACGUUAUUACAAAACGCAGUUUAUCGCAAGUCCUAUUACUAUCUGUAGUACAAAAGAUAAACCAUCGAGCCCCCUAGUUUAACUGCAGUACUUAGUCGACAAACGUCAAAUUCCGACAUUAUUUACUUUUGAGGUUAUUUGUUUUGUGAUGAAAAAAACGAAAGUGGACAUAAAUAUGUGUGAUUUGGAAUACUUGGAUGUGUUAGAAUACUAUUGAGAGUGUCCGGGGACCCAACAGAAUGCGUCAUCGACAAAAUCUCUUCAAAUUACCUGACGACAAUUUUCGAUAUAAAUAUCGAUUUACGUUUUUCGAAAUAAUAGUCAAUUGAAUGCAUGAUGAUAAUCCAGGAUGAUCCUAUGGUGCUCAACUGGGCUCGCCAUAAAAUUCAAGACUAUUUUGGCGUUUUGCACGCCGUAUCUCUGCCAGUAAUAUGCAAUGUUUGUAAAAGACUGGAAGCUUGCUAAAAUGUACAAAAAUGCCUAGAUGAGAAAGGGAACAAGAUUGUGUAAUGAAGAACAGUGUCCAACAUGUAUCAGUGCAUUUGACUGUAUAAAUAGACAUCGGAAUAAAAUAUAAUUUUCUACU